rnacentral:rRNA from 1 species
GUAUAAGACCUGAGUGUAAAGACCUUAGGGUGAAGCAAUUGGAGGGCAAGCUUUGGUGCCAGCAGCCGCGGUAACUCCAACUCCAAGAGUGUCUAUGGUGGAUGCUGCAGUUAAAGGGUCCGUAGUCGUGAAUGCAAUUAAAUGUCGUUGUUCAAUAGCGAUGAGUUUGCUAAUGUUUGCGGAACGGAUAGGGAGUGUAGUAUAGACUGGCGAAGAAUGAAAUCUCAAGACCCAGUUUGGACUAACGGAGGCGAAGGCGACACUCUUAGACGUAUCUUAGGAUCAAGGACGAAGGCAGGAGUAUCGAAAGUGAUUAGACACCGCUGUAGUUCCUGCAGUAAACUAUGCCGACAGCCUGUGUGUGAGAAUACGUGGGCGGGAGAAAUCUUAGUGUUCGGGCUCUGGGGAUAGUACGCUCGCAAGGGUGAAACUUAAAGCGAAAUUGACGGAAGGACACUACCAGGAGUGGAUUGUGCUGCUUAAUUUAACUCAACGCGGGAAAACUUACCAGGGUCAAGUCAUUCGUUGAUCGAAUACGUGAGAAUGGCAGGAGUGGUGCAUGGCCGUUGGAAAUUGAUGGGGCGACCUUUAGCUUAAAUGCUAAACCAGGAGACUCCU